rnacentral:tRNA from 1 species
UCCUGAUGCUUCAGACAGUAAAGAAUCUACUUGCAAUGUAGGAGACCCAGGUUCAAUCCCUGGGUCAGGAA